CUCCCGAAAUCUAUGACACUCCAGGCUAAUAAUGUCGUCGUGAACGCCAUUGGGAACCCGAACUUCACGUUGUCUCCGGCGUCGUAGUAACCUCCCGUUAAGUCCACCUGAAACAGAAACAUCAAACCCCAUUAACAUGACGUUG